GAGGUUAUAGCUCAGUGGUAGAGAGCAUGCCUAGCAUGCACAAGGUCCUGGGUUCUAUCCCCAGUACCUCCG
rnacentral:tRNA from 1 species